rnacentral:pre_miRNA from 1 species
UAAAAUCCCUCACCCUAAUGAAUUCAAUUCAGUGUGUAUCAUUUUUUUUCUAUGUGGGACUAUUUAUGAUACACACUGAAUUGAAUUCAUUAGGGUGAGGGAUUU